GAGAAGUCGUAACAAGGUUUCCGUAGGUGAACCUGCGGAAGGAUCAUUCACAUUAUCCUCUAACGUCGUUGGUUCGCUAGCGUCGUUGGAACUGUGACGGACGGUUGGCUUUUGCUGCCGUCGACCCUCGCUCAACGCGAGGGCGUUACACCCUACCCCACCGGCACUGAACCUCUUGCAAGUGAAACUGGUCUCUGGUUGCCGCGCGCACUACCGUCGAGCGCCUCGAGGGGAAGGGCUUGGCUAGCCAACUUUGGCUGGACUAGCUCGCUUCACCCCUCUGCGCCCCGGCGGUUCGGCACAGGCUCCGAAAGGUAGCCGUCUCUUGGACUGCAAGGCGGGUGUGUGCGAUCGCCUUGUGGUUGCCUAUUUGGCCCUAUGUUUCACUUGCGCUUAGAGCGGGCAGCGCCUGGGUUAUGCCUCUCAGCAAGCGCGCUUGCUUGUUGAGAGGAUGCCUCUUUGGCCGCAUUUGAUGCAGCCUACGAGGCUGGCUGGGUUUUUGGUCUCACCGAUUGCCUGUGCCUCCUGUUACCAACACACGUCUGGUUUACCAGGCUUUUGAAAAACUUUUAACUUUCAGCGGUGGAUGUCUUGGCUCACACAACGAUGAAGGACGCAGCGAAUUGCGAUAUGCAUUGUGACUUGCAGACUUCUGCGAAUCAACAGAUUUCUGAACGUAUAAGACACACCACCUCUCCUUGGAUGUGGUACUCCCAUUUCAGUGAACUGUAAAUCUUCUAACGACCAACCUUGGCAUUUGCCAAGGGGUUGAUGCGAGUGGCUGGCCCCUUGGGGUUGCUGAUUCCUGUUCUGCCUUGCCCUUGAGCGAAGCGUGCCUUUGGGUAGUGAAACUGUUGUUGUACUUGGUACUCGGUGUUUCACUUGCGGGUCUCGAGUGCAGCUAGGCGGCACUGGUUCUAGGCUUUUGCCUAAACCCCCCCUUCUUUCGUUCCUGAAAUUGGGUGGGACUAUCCACUGAAUUUAAACAUAUAAUUAAGUGGAAGAAAAGAAAAUAAAUAUGAUUCCCCUAGUAACGGUCGAGUGAAGC
rnacentral:rRNA from 1 species